rnacentral:rRNA from 1 species
GAUGAACGCUGGCGGCGUGCCUAAUACAUGCAAGUCGAGCGAAUGGAUUAAGAGCUUGCUCUUAUGAAGUUAGCGGCGGACGGGUGAGUAACACGUGGGUAACCUGCCCAUAAGACUGGGAUAACUCCGGGAAACCGGGGCUAAUACCGGAUAACAUUUUGAACCGCAUGGUUCGAAAUUGAAAGGCGGCUUCGGCUGUCACUUAUGGAUGGACCCGCGUCGCAUUAGCUAGUUGGUGAGGUAACGGCUCACCAAGGCAACGAUGCGUAGCCGACCUGAGAGGGUCAUGGGCCACACUGGGACUGAGACACGGCCCAGCUUCCUACGUGAGGCAGCAGUAGGGAAUCUUCCGGCAUGGACGAAAGUCUGACGGAGCAACGCCGCGUGAGUGAUGACGGCUUUCGGGUCGUAAAACUCUGUUGUUAGGGAAGAACAAGUGCUAGUUGAAUAAGCUGGCACCUUGACGGUACCUAACCAGAAAGCCACGGCUAACUACGUGCCAGCCGCCGCCGUAA